rnacentral:rRNA from 1 species
GACGAACGCUGGCGGCGUGCCUAAUACAUGCAAGUAGACCUGAGUUGCGAACGGGUGAGUAACGCGUAGGAACCUUCCUGGUUGCGGGGGAUAACUAUUGGAAACGAUAACUAAUACCGCAUAAUACCAGAUGGACCUGCGUUGUAUUAGCUAGUUGGUGGGGUAAUGGCCUACCAAGCCGACGAUCUCUAGCUGGUCUGAGAGGAAGACCAGCCACACCGGGACUGAGACACGGCCCGGACUCCUACGGGAGGCAGCAGUGGGGAAUAUUGGACAAUGGGCGAAAGCCUGAUCCAGCCAUGCCGCGUGUGUGAAGAAGGUCUUCGGAUUGUAAAGCACUUUAAGUUGGGAGGCGUUACCAACAGAAUAAGCACCGGCUAACUUCGUGCCAGCAGCCGCGGUAAUAC